ACCUGAGUGCCUGAGACACGGGAGCUUCCCUCAGGAAGAGCAUCUCAGGGCAGACAGGCAGCUCCCUUCUAACUAUCGUGCACAGCUGCAGGAAGCCUGCUGCAGUAAAUGUGCAGACACUGCGCUGUUGGCCGCAGCGUGGAAGCAGCAGGGUUGAGCUGGCACUGGAGCCAGGCUCCAAAGAUGCUCGGGAGAAGGGAGACAGUGUGACUGUGAUCACUGAAGGUGCUACUUAAUGGGCAGCUUUCUGCUUAGUGGACAAUACAUCACGUUGUCCAAGUAUUAGGGUGGAAUCGAAAGACGUAGUAACAAGAAGUCUCACCCUGGUGGCCCCCACCGGUGCAAUUCCCUCGUCACCCUGAUGACUAACCAUCUGUACUCAGCCUUUGCUAGUCUUUGUGUUCCUUCAGAUGGAAAGAUGAAUGAUUAUCCUUCCCUCUUCCUGCAGUUCUGCGUCUCACCUUCCCCUCUACCUUCCUGUCUGAACAUCUUCCCACAUCUGUCCGCAGAGCUCUCUCAAUCCCCGUCUGUAUGCGGCUAUUCAAGCAGACCUGGGUUCACCUCUCAGCACUGCUGCCAAUGUGCCCGGCCACCCGAUUAACAGCACGGGUGCUUCGGGGUCAAUAUCAACGCAUCAGCGGUUUUGGUAGACCAUCCCCGACUGCUUCCCAUGGUGUCAAGCUAGCUUGUGUCUCUGGUGACAGCUGUGACGGCACUGCAUGUCUCUUUGAAUGGACAGAAGCCAUUUAAAUGCAUACUCCUCAAGGAAGAUCACGAGGUAUCCAUUCAACACCCCCCUCGAUGCCCAACAUCACUUUUAGAAAGUCCAACAUGAGAUCAGGCACGGAUGUCCUGUUCUUUAAUGGCAUUUCCUUUCUGAUGGAGCUGAACCUGUGGGGAACGGGGACGUGUAUGAGUCACAGGCGUCUGGCAUACCGCAUGUGCGGCGUCACGGUGGGGGAGGUUUCAUCGGCAGCCACAGGUCAUCUGGGAAACCACGUCUAUCAGAGCAGCAGGCUGAGUUCUGAGUGACUGCAGAGUGUGAGGACCUGCUCUGGGCUCUCCCAGCCACCGCUCAGCCGUGGCCUCUCGAGCUCUGCAGAUGGGGCCCCUGUGGGUGUCAAAGCUCAGGUACCGAGUGUCCUGCCCAGGUGCCCUGGGGAAGGGGCCAGGAGGCUCCCUGACUUGCUGCUGGAGGGCCUGAAGCCUCCAUUGUCUCUGAUCACCGAGCCACGUCCACUCUGCCCAGGCUUGGGAGAGGGGGCCUGCAGCUGUAACCAAGAGUGAGCGUCAGUUUCCAUGAGAGCUGGAAAUGAAACUGGAAGGGGGUGACCUGGGGCUGCAGCGGGGCUCCGGCCUGGCACACUGGCCUAGGAGUGUCCGCAGAUGCCAUUCAGCCUGGGAGCUCCCCAGGCACGGUACCAUGUCCGUCUGUCAACACGUAUUAGCCCUCGGAGGUGACCACAUGGAGAGGGUACAAUGAGCCAGGAUGUUGGCCUCUGCCAGCCUCACUGUGUCCUACAGCCACAACCCAGACUUGAGAGUGGAGCCCCCAUCUGUGCAGGUCCAAGUCACUGUGCACCGGGAGCCAUCAAGGGGGAAGGGCAAAUGGCAGGCCCUCAGUCUGGCUUCUACUACAGACCAGCGGUGAGAGCCAGGGCAAAGGUCACAGAGUUUCCUGCAAACUCUGCAGCCUCCUUAUAGAUCUUCCAGAUGCUUCUCUGGUGCCACCCCUCCUGGCCUGGAGAGUAGGCACAGAUCCUUCCAGAAAAAAUCACUCUCACCUUGGUGCCUGGAAAGCCCGUGUGCAGACCCCAGCACUGUAGAGCCAGCAGCCUGCAAAGGGAGCAGGUGACAGGGGCAGGUGAGGGGGUGGCUGUGAGAGUCCCUGCCCAGGCAGUGUCCCAUCACAGCUUAGGACACUCGUCUUAUGAAAGCCCCUUUCCUCUGCCUACCAUCCGAGGUGGCGAGGAGGCCAGGUGCUGUGGGAAGCUCAGGCUCCGCCACACCCCAGAUCUCAGGGAGGCUGCCGGAGCUGCUGGCGGUCUCUGGAAGCCCGUCACCACUUCUCCAUCUGCGAGGUGAGGAAACUGUCUGAAGCCGGAUGAUCAUGAGAAGAACCCACACUGAUUCUGCUGUUUUCAAGUCAGAGCCAAGGGAGUUUGCUGCAGUCUGCAGGUGGAGGUGAGGCCCAGGAUCCGGGUCAACGGGGAGGCGGGCAGCAUGGUUGGGGUGUGAGAAGGCUUUGGUGACGCAGGGAGGACGCAGCAGGAGCCAUUUUGGUGGAAGGGUUUUCACAUGAUGUGGGCUUCAGAGGUGCCAGUUGGUGCCUAAACUGAGGCCCAGGAGGCAGCUGCCUGUGCUCCAAGGUCCAGGAAGGGGAUGUACCAGGUGGGAUCAGGGUUCAGCAUACAGAAGAGAGGCCUAGAGCCAUGAGCCUGGAGUGUGAGAAAAGACAGGACCCAGGAGUGAGCUGGGUGGGAUCAGGGCUCAGCUUACAGAGGGGGGCCCAGAGCCAUGAUCCUGGAGUGUGAGAAGAGACAGGAUCCAGGACUGAGCUGGGUGGGAUCAGGGCUCAGCUUACAGAGGGGGGCCCAGAGCCAUGAUCCUGGAGUGUGAGAAGAGACAGGACCCAGGACUGAGCUGGAUGGGAUCAGGGCUCAGCUUACAGAGGGAGGACCAGAGCCAUAAUCCUGGAAUGUGAGAAGAGACAGGACCCAGGACUGAGCAGGGUGGGAUCAGGGCUCAGCAUACAGAGGGAGGCCCAGAGCCAUGAGCCUGGAGUGUGAGAAGAGACAGGACCCAGGACUGAGCUGGGUGGGAUCAGGGCUCAGCAUAUAGAGGGAGGCCCAGAGCCAUGAUCCUGGAGUGUGAGAAGAGACAGGACCCAGGACUGAGCUGGGUGGGAUCAGGGCUCAGCAUAUAGAGGGAGGCCCAGAGCCAUGAUCCUGGAGUGUGAGAAGAGACAGGACCCAGGACUGAGCUGGGUGGGAUCAGGGCUCAGCAUAUAGAGGGAGGCCCAGAGCCAUGAUCCUGGAGUGUGAGAAGAGACAGGACCCAGGACUGAGCUGGGUGGGAUCAGGGCUCAGCAUAUAGAGGGAGGCCCAGAGCCAUGAUCCUGGAGUGUGAGAAGAGACAGGAUCCAGGACUGAGCUCUGCACUCCUGAUAUUAAGCAUCAAGGAAGGAAGGAAGGAAAAGAGGAUGUGUAGGCGGGAUGACUGAGGAGUGGGGCUGAGCACAGGGUCCCACAGCAGCAGAGGAACCCUGGUGAGGGAGAGGACAGGGUCCGGGACUAGUACAAAAAUGGGGCUGUCACUGGAACAGAAAUGGGACCAAGAGGAACUUUGGGGGUUUUCAGACAGGGGAGAAGUCAUAGAACUUUCUUUGAGAGUCAGGAAGAUCCAGGAGAGAGGGCCGCAGACCCGCGGGAGGGGAAACGCAGUGGUUAGGGAGGGUAGAGCUGCUCAGGUCCUGUUCAAGGGGGCGGGCCCACAGCACAGGUGCAGCCUUGCACAGGAGCGAGGAGUCCCACGUGAAGGAGGAGCAGGGCUCUGAGGGCUGGAGGAUGUCAGGCUCCACGUGGGAAGUGUGGGUGUCACGUGUAAAAGGCCACCCCCUCUGCCCGGCUUGACCCAUUGCCCUGAGUUGCGGUGGGGCUCCCAGGGGACAGAAUGUUCUCUGGGGCAGGAGGUGACGGUGCAAGUUGGUGCCCCUGCAGGUCCAGGGAGCAAAGGAUCUGGUGGAGGGGUCACUCCGGCCAGUGGGGACGACAGUGCGGUCACUCACUCUGCAGGGCUUCCUUGGCACAGCUCUGACCCACGAAUUGCCACUUUGUAGUUAAUUCCAGUUCACACUGCAGGACUCUUUCCCUGGCCCAUCCCACCCCCAGGGACCCAUGUCAGCAGCUUCUCCUCUGGGCGCCUCGGCAACUUGGCUUCCGCUUCCCUCUUUUGGAGAUCGGGCCCAGGAAAUAAAGAUCCGAUGGUCGGGAAGGUGUUCCAGGUUGGGGUGCCCAUGCCUGGCUUCAGACAGGCUCAUUCCAAUCCAAACAGGUCCUCCUGUCCUAGGGACGUCCGCUGCCCGUUUCUCCACCCAGGACAGCCACACCCCGCCCACAGCCAUGCUGCCCACUUAGGUCUCGGUGAGAUGCUGAGGUUUCCCUUCUGGAAAAUUCUAAGGUUGAGGAAAAAAGUUGGGGUAAGAACUGAGAAGGAGGAGGGAAGAGGGCAGGGAAUCCAUGGGCACCCUCCCCACUCACGCCUACCAAACCCAACCCCAGCUCCCCGGCAACUGCGGGAAAGAGAUGACCUGUAGAGACAGACCCCUUGGGAACGGGGCAGAGGUGACAGCCCAGCACCACAUAGCACGCAGUGGACACUGGGCAUGUGUUUCUAUGCGGACGAGUUGAGCACACAGGGCCCAGCUGAGAAAACCUGGGUGAGCCUCCAGGGGGCUGAGGGUGGCCCCACAAGAGCCAAGGCCAAACGUGGGAAGAACGGCCGGAGAGUCUCUCAAAGGCUUCAUUCACCCCCCCGCCAAGGCGCCCGCUCUGCAGCACUUCCUGUCAGCCUGGUGUGCCAAGGUCAAAGGUGAACAAGUAUUUGGAAACUAUGAAAACUUUUGGCUCCGUCGCUGGCCUCCCACGGGCUCCCUGGAGUCCACGCGCUGUGCACUCCAAAUGGCGCAGGCACAAGUCCUCCACAGCCCAGCCGGGCCCAGGAGCCCAGCCGCGGGGAGCUUCUGCCUCCAGAUGCGCAGUGGAGUGGUGACCACCACAAGUGCCCAGCAGACACCGUCCCGGGCUCUCUCCAGGUGUGACCUCCUUUGGCUCUGUCAGCCUCACUUCUUGUUGCACGUGACCUGUCCAGAGCUGGAGGCCCAAGUGUAGAACGAAAGGAAUGGAGAAUGGCCUUGGUUUCCCUUAGACUGACAGACGGACGCCUCCCCGCACUGGGCAUGAUGGCCUUGCUCUCCCAGGUGAGGGCAGGGUCACAACACUCUGGACAGUAGCAGCCAAUACUGAUUAAGUACUGGAGACUGAGCUGUGCUGCCCACACACACCUGCCCUCCCUCUCUCCAGUUCCUAGAAGACUGGCAUUCCUGCCCCGGGGGCUUCACCACGUGCAAGACCUGAGUCACGAGGAUGUGUGCAGGCUCUGUGCUGAGUCCAGGCUCUGACACAAGAACCUUGGUGUGCUCAGGGCCUCCCUCAGAUCAGUGGCUUUGCCAGUACUGGUCCCAGAGUGAGGGCAAAGCAAACCAGAGAACUCCAACUGGCCCCAGUGGACAUGCAUUAUGAGCAGGACCAAGAUGGUGGGGCUGUUGGACUCUGCAGUAUUUGCAGCCAGUCUUACUAGCAGCACUCACAGCACACCAGGCCCUCAACUAGAACCUUCAGUUGUAGAACUCCUUUCACUACCAGAGCAACCACUGAGGCUGAGUGCACUUAAGCUCAUUUGACAGAUGCCAAAACCGAGGCAGAGAACAGAAGGUAACAUGAACCAGUUCCACAGUUCAAGGCACUCGUGUUAUCAGCAAUCCAGGACUGUCACAAAAUACCUGAGAUAAUCAACAUACAAGGAGAAAAGGUUUAUUUUAUAUCAACAUUUCUAUGGUUUCAGACCAUGGUGAGUUGGCUCUGAUGCUUUUGGGACUGUGGUGGCACCAUGCAUCAUGUGGCAGAGGAGACGAGACGGCUCACCUCAAAGCAGUCAGGAGGCAGAAGGAGACGGAGGAAGAGACCAGGGUCCCAAUAUCCCCUGGCAGCACACUUGCCCUGUCCUCACUUCCUGGCACCAGGCUGCCUCCCCAGGAGCACCGCAGGCUGGGGACAAGUCCUCCACACGAAGGCCGUGGAGGGUGUUCAGGUUCCGAGCUGCAGCGACACUGUACUCAAGUCAUUUUUCAAUGUCAGACCUUAUCUUUAUGCCUCCACACGGUUUUACACUCACAGCUGGGAAAGGGCACAGAGGGGUGGUGACCCUACUUCUCAGCAGUAGAAACUUCUGAGAAAGGUUGUGGGCCACAUCCCCACCAAGAAACAGGAAGCCGGCAAAUUCCACUCAAACCAGAGUCAUCAGAAAGGGCCUAGGAACCUGUGGUCACUAGCUCCGCCCCGGGCCCGCAGCGCCUGGACCUCAGGCCAGGUCCAGCUGUGAGAUGCCAAGCCUGGAACGUGACCUCCCGCCAUCAGAAGCCAUCAGCCUGGGACAGUGAAGGAGCCAGGGCCACAGAGAACCCUCCAAGGAUGCGCAGGAGCCCACCGCCCACCACCUCCGCGUUUCCUGGACUCAGGCCAGUCUUCCACUCCGUCUUAGGGGAAGAAACCGUCCCGGGGCUUCAGUGAGUAUGGGAACCCACUGAGCAGAGGCCCCUGAGCUGGGGAGUCGGAGGCUUAUUCUGCUUCCUCUUACCAGAGGUCUGAUUCCCUGUGACCCUCAUCGUUUGUUAAAUGGGAGCUUGAGGACACCGUGCUGCCUGACCAGACCAUGAGCAGCCCCUGUCCCCGUGAUGGGAAGGGGUGUGAUGGGUGCCGUGGGCGUCUGUGGACAGGCCUGGGAAGGUGGCCUUCGGAGAGGCCAGGCCUGGACAAGGGAGCACACAGGACCACUUUCCGCCCAGUGGCCACUAGAUGCUGCGUGUCCAUUGGCUUUGUGCAGAGUGGAGGGGCGUGUGUCACCAGGAAACAGACUUCCAAUCCGGCGGGCUUUGAAUUCUGGCAGGACUGCUGGCCUGGGUCCCACCCCUGCGUCCGUUACCUCAGGAGCAGUCAUCUUCAAAGGAAUUUGCCGGCCCAGAUAUUGUAAUUAACCAUGAAAUCAGUCCCUUGGAGAUCACGUGUCUGGGCUCUUCCCCCCACCCCAGCUUUAAAGUGCUGCUCAGCACUCAGGGCCAAAGCCAAAACCCAGAGACAUACCUUGGCCUCGGUGACGAAGAGGCAUCUGUGCAUGGAAGCCGAGCUGAACCGAACUCAGUUUCCUGUCAGUCUUCUCAUCAGCUCUCCAAAAAGGAGUCUGGGCUCCCCAGGGGUAGAUACAAAUUCCAGGAGUUACAUAUAAAUUCCAGAGAUAAAUGUAAAUUCCAGGGCUGUGAGCUGGGUCCAGGCUCCUUCCCUGGCCUCCCUCUGACCUGGGAGGCUAGCGCAGGUUCCACUGUGUGCUUGGGGCUGAGCCUCAGGGGGAUGUCAGCCCUGAACGUCCAGGAGAGCGUCGUGUGCAUCUUCUGGGCUUUGCUCUCAUCCAAGGCAGAGUGCCGUGGGGCUGGGGGUUGUGCAUCUGGGUUCUGUGAACUGCAGCUCCUGAGCACAACCUUGAGCCAGCCAGAAGCAGGGCACAGACAACCCUCAGGAGCAGCCCCACACCCAGAACCUCUGGUCAUCAUUCCCAUCAGACUCUUGACUCCUCAGCACUUCACCGCCAGCACCAGGGGAAGAUGCCAACCACCGGAGGCUCUUCCUCCCCCAGGCGAGCCACCGGAGGUGUGCCCAAGCAGUCUCGGCUGCGGCUGGCUGACCCGAGCCUGCCUUCUGCAGGUUUAGCUUAAUCGUUUGGUGACUAGGGUCCCAUGUCCAGCAGAGGAUCAGCCCAGACUGUGGAUCCUCGUUGUUUGUACCUCAGCUGUUUGCACCAGCCCACUGGGACCCCGCUCCUUCUGGGCAGCAAGGGUGCACUUCAGACUGGCUUUUUCCUCUGGCAUGUGCUUGCCCGCACCCUGUGGAAGGGGACAGGCAGGGACAAGGGCUUCCAGUUCUCAGGCUCCAGCUCUGCAGGCUGAACACACCUGUGCUCGUGGCUCAGCUCUUGGGUCCUCUGCAAGCCAGGAGUCGGAGCACCUCUCCACGUGCGGUGAGACCCUAGGUGUGACACUUCCUUUGCCCCUGUCCUGCCCCUGGCUGGUGAGCCAACACGUUUCCACCUACAUCUUGAUGGCUUCACACAUGUUGGGACUUCAGGUGGCAAGGACAGGACAGUCACAGACUGCACUCCGGGCACGCUCAUCGCAGUCAUCUGCAGGCGGGACCUGCAGAUUGGGGCGCACCCUUUUCUACCUCUGGGUCCCCAAGGCAAGGAUGGACGGAAGGGAGAGCACCACUCCAGCAGCCCAAGAGGGGUCAGGUCUCUGUCUCCAGUGGACUUGGCAUCUGUCUUCCCCAGAAAGACCUGAUUUGAUUGGAUGGCUUCCCCAAAACAGACCACCCAUGGACCUGGGCACCGAUCGCUGGCCCAUUCGAGGCAGCAGGGCUGGCCAGGCAGAACCCUGGCUGGUUCUUUUAGAAUGAUCCUAAAACGCACCUACUUCCUUCCUUUUCUUCCUCAGGUUGAGUUAUGACUUUACAACUUAGUGCAACAAUGUAUCUAAACAACCCAGGGAAGUCCUGCUGUGGUCACUCUGAGGCCUUCUUAUUUUCAGGAGGUAACAUCUCUCAAUGCUCACUCCCCUCUAUGACAAUCAGAGAGCAGUGUCAAGCCUUCUAGUUCUGUGCAGGGACCAAGUUUUACCUGAAUAAACAGAGUGAAUGACCGAAUGCAGACCAGGAAAAUGCAAAUUAGGUUCACUUUUAGCAAGCACACGGGGUGAUGGAGGGCGGUCUGGCCUGGCACUCCUGCACAACGGCAUUCCUCAUCUGCUUGAGAUUUCCAAACAAUCCAGAUUCUUCUUCUUCUGAUAACCAUACCAGAGAGAGAUCCCCACAUACCUGGGGGUUUCAUGUCACGCUUCACCAUGAGUGAUGUGGAGCUCCUGGGGACAGGGAGCGGGCUCAGUCACAGAUGCAGCCUCAGAGCCAGCCCGAGAGGUCAUGGAGGUGCACAGUCAGAGCAGCCCAGCCUCCUGCACCCAGAACUUACCAGCAGGACUCCAACAGUGACCCUGCCAACACACAGGAACCAAGGGAAGAGGUGGACCCUAGGGACAGCAUCUGGCGACCAGAGCCGCUCCUGGCUCCCCUUCCAUCCUCCAGGGCAGGACAGGCAAGGCGUGCAGGGGGCCUCGCCGGUGUGCCUCCAGGUCAGCCCCAACACAAGACAAACCCACGCCUGGGCCGGCUUCCCACUACCCCCACGCGGGUUUCCCACUACCCCUGCGCGGGUUUCCCACUACCCCCGCGCGGGUGGUCUUCUGCUGCCCCAGCCUUGUGGCACACGUCACUUUGGAAAAGCUGCUCUCACCACCCUGUGACCGAUUCUGUCUGCUCCCUUCUGGGUGCCACUGCUCAGGGAAUUCCAGUCUGAGGUGGAGGGGGGUCAGCCGGCUCUCAUCACUGUGACAAAACGCCAGAGAAAGUCAAGUCAGGACAGAAGACUCAUUCUGGCUUAGGGCUUCGGAGUCGCAGUCACGGUCUCCUGGCUCCAUGGAUUCCCGGCCUGUGGUGAGCGUCGGGGGAGACGGUGUGGUGGAGCAUCUCUUUGCCUCAUGGCGGCAGGGAGCCAACAGCCAGAGAAAGGCCCAGGACAAACUACCCAUUUUAGGGCCUGCCCCUGUGACCCACUUCCCCAGCGAGGCCCACCUCCACUCCUAAGGUGUCUACACCCCUCAGUAUCAUCGCCAGCCGAGCUCCACAGCCUCCGACUCCGAGCCAUUGUGCGCAUUCCACAUCCGAGUCCACAUGGCCCCUCUCGGGGUCAGCCUUUGCUCUGGUCUCUGAUUCCCAAACUGCUGACCACCACUGAGCUCAGUCACCUGCAUCUCAGACCGUGAGCGCCUCAGGCCGGCUGCCUUCUUCCUCCUCAGGGGGCCAGCUCCACGGUGGGCAGCAGGUGGAUCAGGCACGUCUCCCGUGAAGAUGCUCGUGCAGAAGGCCAAGAACACCUGGGAGGAGAAGAAGACCUCCCUUUGCAAAGCAGAUGGCCUGGACCCACAAAUGGUUAAGUGUCCAGUAACCCAAUCAACGUGUACCUAAAAUUACAAACCUUCCCCUUUGCUCUCCAAACCCCGUAACAUUACAUAAACACCAUUAACAGACAACCACGUAGGAAUACAUGUGAGUUCUAGCACACAUUGCUCUUCCACUCAUUCUGACAAUGUCCAAACCAUCAACAAACCUAGACUUGGGCCUGACUCUCCCCUGAGGGGCUCCUGAAUGCCCUCCGCGCUCUUCCCGCCCCUCUUAAUAACGUGGUUGGUCCUUGGGAGCCUUGGCCUGGCAGAGAGCCCCUGGGAAGGCCCUGGCCCUGCCCCCGAGCUCCCGUGUGCUGACAUCACUGCAGGACAGCAUCUGGCCUUAUCACCUGACGUCCCACAGACCCAGGGUCCCCGUACCACGCCAGGUCACAGAGACCGGUGACGGUGCUGUCAAAGUUCACCCGCUGGCUGAAUCUCCUUUACCCUCUGGGCUCCCCAAACGCCCUGGGACUGAGUUUCGGAGCUCGGAGCGCUGGCAGCCUCAGCACUGGGCUAUGCUUUUGUAGUUGCCUUUUUAAAACCCGGAGCAGAAGGGCAUUUCAUGUCAGUCUUUCCUCUUCGAGUGGCGGCCUCACGUCCUUGUUUCAGAUCCCACGUCUCGGUCCUUCCCUGAAGGCCACCUUCUGCUUUCCCUCGUAGUUCAGCCGCUGCCCCACGUCUCUUAGCUCACCCAGGGCUCAGAGGUCAAGCGCCAGCCUUCUGGUCACACCAGGACUCUGCC
rnacentral:lncRNA from 1 species